rnacentral:rRNA from 1 species
GAUGAACGCUGGCGGCGUGCCUAAUACAUGCAAGUCGAGCGAACAGACGAGGAGCUUGCUCCUCUGACGUUAGCGGCGGACGGGUGAGUAACACGUGGAUAACCUACCUAUAAGACUGGGAUAAUUUCGGGAAACCGGAGCUAAUACCGGAUAAUAUAUUGAACCGCAGGGUUCAAUAGUGAAAGACGGCUUUGCUGUCACUUAUAGAUGGAUCCGCGCCGCAUUAGCUAGUUGGUAAGGUAACGGCUUACCAAGGCAACGAUGCGUAGCCGACCUGAGAGGGUGAUCGGCCACACUGGAACUGAGACACGGUCCAGACUCCUACGGGAGGCAGCAGUAGGGAAUCUUCCGCAAUGGGCGAAAGCCUGACGGAGCAACGCCGCGUGAGUGAUGAAGGUCUUCGGAUCGUAAAGCUCUGUUAUUAGGGAAGAACAAAUGUGUAAGUAACUAUGCACGUCUUGACGGUACCUAAUCAGAAAGCCACGGCUAACUACGUG